GUUGAACGCUAGCUACAGGCCUAACACAUGCAAGUCGAGCGACGGGCGCGCGGGUGAGUUAAACGUGUCCCACCUGCCGUUUACUCGGGGAUAACGUUUCGCGAGAAAGACUAACACCCGACGGAAAGGAUGGGGAUGCGUUCCAUUAGGUUGUUGGUGAGGUAACGGCUCACCAAGCGUUCGAUGGAUAGGGGUGCUGAGAGGAAGGCCCCCCACAAUGGAACUGCGACACAGUCCAAACUCCUACGCGAGACAGCAGUGAGUAAUAUUGGUCAAUGGGCGCUAGCCUGAACCUGCCGAGUAGCGUGAAGGAUGAAGGCUUAUGGGUCGUAAACUUCUUGUAUAUAAGAAUAUGUAUUAGAUGAAUAAGGAUCGGCUAACUCCGUGCCAGCAGCCGCGGUAAUAC
rnacentral:rRNA from 1 species